rnacentral:rRNA from 1 species
AUUGAACGCUGGCGGCAUGCUUUACACAUGCAAGUCGAACGGUAACAGGUCUUCGGAUGCUGACGAGUGGCGAACGGGUGAGUAAUGUAUCGGAACGUGCCCAGUAGUGGGGGAUAACUACUCGAAAGAGUGGCUAAUACCGCAUGAGAACUGAGGUUGAAAGCGGGGGGACCUUCGGGCCUCGCGCUACUGGAGCGGCCGAUGUCAGAUUAGCUAGUUGGUGGGGUAAAGGCCCACCAAGGCGACGAUCUGUAGCGGGUCUGAGAGGAUGAUCCGCCACACUGGGACUGAGACACGGCCCAGACUCCUACGGGAGGCAGCAGUGGGGAAUUUUGGACAAUGGGCGCAAGCCUGAUCCAGCCAUGCCGCGUGCGGGACGAAGGCCUUCGGUUGUAACCGCUUUCAGCCGGAACGAAAUACGCCGUUUUUAAUUACUAGACGGUGGAUGACGGUACCGGAAGAAGAAG